CUGACAGCCAGUAGCGUGCAGGAUGACGGCCCUAUGGGUUGUAAACUGCUUUUAUGUGGGGAUAAAGUGAGCUACGUGUAGUUUAUUGCAGGUACCACAUGAAUAAGGACCGGCUAAUUCCGUGCCAGCAGCCGCGGUAAUACGGAAGGUCCAGGCGUUAUCCGGAUUUAUUGGGUUUAAAGGGAGCGUAGGCCGUGGAUUAAGCGUGUUGUGAAAUGUAGACGCUCAACGUCUGAAUUGCAGCGCGAACUGGUUCACUUGAGUAUGCACAACGUAGGCGGAAUUCGUCGUGUAGCGGUGAAAUGCUUAGAUAUGACGAAGAACUCCGAUUGCGAAGGCAGCUUACGGGAGCACAACUGACGCUGAAGCUCGAAGGUGCGGGUAUCAAACA
rnacentral:rRNA from 1 species